rnacentral:rRNA from 1 species
AUGAACGCUGGCGGCGUGCCUAAUACAUGCAAGUCGAGCGAACGGACGAGAAGAUUGCUUCUCUGAUGUUAGCGGCGGACGGGUGAGUAACACGUGGAUAACCUACCUAUAAGACUGGGAUAACUUCGGGAAACCGGAGCUAAUACCGGAUAAUAUUUUGAACCGCAUGGUUCAAAAGUGAAAGACGGUCUUGCUGUCACUUAUAGAUGGAUCCGCGCUGCAUUAGCUAGUUGGUAAGGUAACGGCUUACCAAGGCAACGAUGCAUAGCCGACCUGAGAGGGUGAUCGGCCACACUGGAACUGAGACACGGUCCAGACUCCUACGGGAGGCAGCAGUAGGGAAUCUUCCGCAAUGGGCGAAAGCCUGACGGAGCAACGCCGCGUGAGUGAUGAAGGUCUUCGGAUCGUAAAACUCUGUUAUUAGGGAAGAACAUAUGUGUAAGUAACUGUGCACAUCUUGACGGUACCUAAUCAGAAAGCCACGGCUAACUACGUG